UCAGCUUCACCAAAAUCAAUACCUGAUAGUUCACAAGAACUAUUUGUUCAUACACAUCAGAUUGAAAUCCAUCAAGCUAUUGGAGUUCUCCACUAAAUCCACAUCCUUUGAUAUAAAGAGAAUUUGAUAUGACAGACUGCUUUAAAUUCAACUCCUUGUGUACAUGAGUACAUAACUCCCUAUACUAGUUAUCUACACAUCCUUUCAUAUCUGAAACGAACUUGAUAUGACAUAUUGCUUUAAAUUCUACAACUCCUUGUAUACAUUACUCCCUAUACUAGCUAUUUGAACUUGUAAACAGCUCAAUAUACCUUUUAGUCAUGUAAACUAAAGGUCAACUAAAAGUUCACCUUGAAGUUGAACUGAAAGCAAGCUGACAUGUUCUGCUAGCUCCUUCCCAUUGUAUAUUUUACCUGAUCAAGUGACCAAAUUAACUAAAUCUGAGCAGAAAUCAUACAUGAGUUCAGUUUGAUUUAGAACAAAGCAAAGAAGCGCUGCUAUAAUUCUGGUGCACACAAAGGCCUUAAAUUAGUACCUGUUAAAGAACUUAUCUACUCCUGAAGUAGAAACAACUAUCAGUUGAAGAAAACACAUAGGCUUAGUGUUACUAGUCAAUUUAAGAAAACAAGUGCUGAUGUAAUAAGCUGAGCCAAUCAUUGCCGAAUCAGAUGUUUGUAGCCCAUCAUUCUUCAGCAAAUUUUGAAUUCUUUAGAUUAACAAAUUUUUACUUCACAUGUUCCUUUUUCAUGCUGUUUCAGUUGCAAGUCAAUAAAAUUUCUUCACUGAAAUUCUUGAUUUCCUAAUUACUAGAUUUGUUUGUGUGCAGAUAGGUAUGUUACAAAACACUGUAUCCAUUUGGAACAAAGUUAAAGUAUAAGAAGCCCAUUUUAUGUGUAAGCAAGAGAGUUUAGCCGUGUCUAACUUACCAAAAAUGUUGACAUCAACAAGCUUAAUUUGCAGACAAAGUUCCGUGUCUUCUCAUUGGAUCUCAACAAAUGAUCAUACUUUAUUUUACUGCAGGGACAAUAUCAUAGGCAUUCAAGGGAGUGAUGCUUGUAGAAAACUAAAUAACAAGAUCCAAAAUACAUGAACUCAUACUCAAGGCACACCUAGUAGUUGAUUCCUUAUCAAUUGCACAAGUGUCGCAAUUUUAAUUACCUCUGAUAGACAAAUAAAAGGUCAAAUCGUUUCCUGUUGAGAAACACAUGAAUAAAAGAGAAAAGUCUCGUCAGAUCUGUGGCUUCCAAAUCAUCAUCAAUCUCUAAAGAACAAAAGACAAACAAAGAAAAAUUUGAAGGCGUAUCAAGAGACAUUGAGCUGAUUGAGAUGAAGUGAGUAGACGGGGUGAGAAUCUCACCACAUCGGGUGCCGGAAUCCGUGAGCGGCGCCUCCAUCUGCGAGGCGUGCAGGACCUUCUGCGCCACCUCCAGUGUCAGGCUGGCCGCCGGCAGCACUACAUCCACCUCCUGCUUGGCCGGCGUCGGCGCAGUGGGGAGCGCGAGUGGAUCUCGAAGGAGGACAGGCAGCGACGAGGGGCGAAAUGAAGGAGGACAGCGGCGGUAGAGGCAGAGGCAGCGGCAGCGGCGGACGGUGAGGUCCGGGAGACGAGGUCGUGGAUGCAGCGGCGGCCGCGGGUGGGCGCGAGAUGCGGCCGAGGGUGGGGUAGGUGCGUGCGAGAUGCGGAGAGGAGGGGAUAAGGAUAGGAUUUGGAGCGGAGCGUUGCUUCCUGUCGGUUCAUGUAACCCCGUCAGGAGCCUCUUGGUUUCCGGUAGUGAUCGGCCUGAGCGACGAGGCCGCCGGAAGCCUCGCGGCGGAGCUCGGCUUCCCCAGGAGCCGCCUGGAGGCCAGGGCCCAGAUCAAGAUCGCGCACCGGGAAGCCAUGGUCCUCCUCCUGACCUUCCGCUACCACUGCAUCAACAGGCGCUCCUACUACCUCGCCUACGACUCCACCGACGUGUCGCUCCGCAUGAUCCCGUACCUACCGCGCGGGCUCAAGGCCACCUACACGCUGGCCGCCGUCCCCGUGCGCGGCGGCGCCGGCGCGGGCCUCGCGCUGGCCCUCAUGGCGCGUCUGGUCGGCCCCCAGGACGUCGGCAGC
rnacentral:lncRNA from 1 species